rnacentral:tRNA from 1 species
GCUCAGUUGGUAGAGCAUGGUGUUUGCAAUGCCAGGGUUGUGGGUUCAAUUCCCAC